rnacentral:rRNA from 1 species
CUUGCGCAAUGGGCGAAAGCCUUACGCAGCCAUGCCGCGUGAAUGAUGAAGGUCUUCGNGUUGUANANCGCUUUCAGCAGGGAAGNAGCGAAAGUGGUGGUACCUGCAGGAAAAGCAUCGGCUAACUACGUGCCAGCAGCCGCGGUAAUACGUAGGGUUCAAGCGUUGUCCGGAAUUAUUGGGCGUAAAGAGCUCGUAGGCGGCUUGUCGCGUCUACCGGUAAAACCCAGGGCUCCACCCUGGGCGUGCGGUGGGUACUGGCAGGCUAGAGUUCGGUAGGGGAGAUUGGAAUUCCUGGUGUAGCGGUGGAAUGCGCAGAUAUCAGGAGGAACACCGAUGGCGAAGGCAGAUCUCUGGGCCGUAACUGACGCUGAGGAGCGAAAGCAUGGGGAGCGAACAG